CAUGUAUAUUUGAAAACAUUGCUAUGUUCAAAUUUAUUGGCAAUGUAUCCAAAUUAAAUUUAAUGUCCGAAUUUUUAUUGUUGGAAUGAAAACAAAAAUUAGUGAGACAAACAUGUAGUGACCAUAAACGAAGCUGUUGUACAUGAUUGUUAUCUGAUUGGAAACUUUUUGUUCUCACCUUUUGUUUGUUCUGUGAUCCACAGGAAAUUCCUUCUCCCUGAUCAUCACUGUGGUUGCUGCUGUGGUUGCUGCUGUGGUUGUUCUUGCUGCCAUCGCUGUGAUCGCAUUCAUUAUUUACAAAAAGAGGACAGAGAAACGUCCACCAUCUCCUGUAGAGAGCCAGAAGCCAAUGCUGCCUCAAGACUAAACCACAAACAGCUCUGCACACAGUUUAUGGAUAGAUGGAUAAAGAGAACCUGAGAGAAGACGUGUCAGCUCGUUCUUCUCCAUAUCCACAUCAUAAAAUCUGUUAAAAAGAUCUAAAAUAUAGUUGCAGAUGCUUAUUAAUCAAAAAGGUAAAGAAGUUUGAAAAUGAGUUGGCAAAUUUGUAACAUAUACAUCAUAAUGGUGGCAUUAAAUUAUUCUGAAUAUGUUGUUUUCAGUUAAAAAAAAGUCACUUAAAAAAAAGAUCUAACAAAGAUGUGACCACCUGGAGAGAUGUAAAACACAAUAAAAACAACAUGAAACAAUGAAAGCAUCACAGCAGUCUCAAUACAAUCAUAAUUAAACCUUUGUGUGUUCAUCUUCACUCAAACAUAUAUUAAUUUAGUGUUUCUGGUGUGGGGUUUUCUUGUAAAUUGUUGCAUCACUCAUGAAUGCUGAGCUUCCCUCACUCUCAGUGAUAAAGGAAUCAUAAUAAUAUAUUUCUAAAUUUUGUACAUGUUUACUUGUGUAUUUCUUAAAAUUUGAUUUAAAAAAUAUCAAUGAUGAAUUCCAGGAGACCGUAACAGAUUUUUCUUUAUGUCUGAAUUUUUUUCUUAAUUAAUGAAGAUGAUGUUUAUUCUCUGUUGUUUGAUUUAAGAUAUAUUUUGAGUUUUUUGAUUUUAGAGUUUAGUUCAAGUUGAGAUUCUGGAGGGUUGUGUGGGUUAUGUUUUUAACACAUUGGUGGAUGUGUUUCUGCUUAUAGUUUAGGAUUUUUCAAGGUUUUCCUCAUUUGUCUGUAAACUUUAAAAAAUUAAUUAGUAGAAUAUGUAUCAGUAAAACAGCAUUGCUCUUUCUCUCCUUUUCAUACUUUGGUUGUCAAUAAAGUCCCAAACAAUCCAAA